GACGAACGCUGGCGGCGUGCUUAACACAUGCAAGUCGAACGGAAAGGCCCUGCUUUUGUGGGCUGCUCGAGUGGCGAACGGGUGAGUAACACGUGAGUAACCUGCUCUUGACUUUGGGAUAACUUCAGGAAACUGGGGCUAAUAUCGUAUAGGAUCUCCUGCUGCAUGGUGGGCGUUGGAAAGUUUCGGCGGUUGGGGAUGGACGCGCGGCUUAUCAGCUUGCUGGUGGGGUAGUGGCUUACCCAGGCUUUGACGGGUAGCCGGCCUGAGUGGGUGACCGGCCACAUUGGGACUGAGAUACGGCCCAGACGCCUACGGGAGGCAGCAGUGGGGAAUAUUGCACAAUGGGCGGAAGCCUGAUGCAGCAACGCCGCGUGCGGGAUGACGGCCUUCGGGUUGUAAACCGCUUUCGCCUGUGACGAAGCGUGAGUGACGGUAAUGGGUAAAGAAGCACCGGCUAACUACGUG
rnacentral:rRNA from 1 species